UACGGAGGGAGCAAGCGUUGUUCGGAAUUACUGGGCGUAAAGGGCGCGUAGGCGGUCGCGUAAGUCGGAUGUGAAAUUCCGGGGCUCAACCCCGUGAACUGCACCCGAUACUGCGUGACUAGAGAGAGGUAGGGGCAAGUGGAAUUCCCGGUGUAGCGGUGGAAUGCGUAGAUAUCGGGAAGAACACCCGUGGCGAAGGCGGCUUGCUGGACCUUUUCUGACGCUGAAGCGCGAAAGCGUGGGGAGCAAACAGGAUUAGAUACCCCCGUA
rnacentral:rRNA from 1 species